rnacentral:tRNA from 2 species
GGGCCGGUGGCUUAGCCUGGUUAUAGCGUCCGGCUGAUAACCGGAAGGUCAUGGGUUCAAAUCCCAUCCGGCCCA